UACGUAGGUGGCAAGCGUUGUCCGGAUUUACUGGGUUUAAAGGGUGCGUAGGCGGGCCAUUAAGUCAGUGGUGAAAGCUCCGAGCUUAACUCGGAAACUGCCAUUGAUACUAUUGGUCUUGAAUUCGGUCGAGGUUGGCGGAAUGUGUCGUGUAGCGGUGAAAUGCUUAGAUAUGACACAGAACACCGAUUGCGAAGGCAGCUAGCUAGACCGACAUUGACGCUGAGGCACGAAAGCGUGGGGAUCAAACAGG
rnacentral:rRNA from 1 species